UAAUGUUUGUUCAUAUAAAGUAA
rnacentral:snRNA from 1 species